CCGACGGUGAGAGGUGAAAGCUGGGGGCACGAACCGGAUUAGAUACCCGGGUAGUCCCAGCCGUAAACGAUGCUCGCUAGGUGUCAGGCAUGGCGCGGCCGUGUCCGGUGCCGCAGGGAAGCCGUGAAGCGAGCCACCUGGGAAGUACGGCCGCAAGGCUGAAACUUAAAGGAAUUGGCGGGGGAGCACAACAACGGGUGGAGCCUGCGGUUUAAUUGGACUCAACGCCGGACAACUCACCGGGGGGCGACAGCAAUAUGUAGGCCAAGCUGAAGACUUUGCCUGAAUCGCUGAGAGGAGGUGCAUGGCCGUCGCCAGUUCGUACU
rnacentral:rRNA from 1 species